AUCGAACGCUGGCGGCAGGCCUAACACAUGCAAGUCGAGCGCAGCGGCGGACGGGUGAGUAAUGCCUAGGAAUCUGCCUGGUAGUGGGGGAUAACGUCCGGAAACGGGCGCCUAUACCGCAUACUAUAAGAUGACCCUAGGUCGGAUUAGCUAGUUGGUGGGGUAAAGGCCUACCAAGGCGACGAUCCGUAACUGGUCUGAGAGGAUGAUCAGUCACACUGGAACUGAGACACGGUCUAGACUCCUACGGGAGGCAGCAGUGGGGAAUAUUUGACAAUGGGCGAAAGCCUGAUCCAGCCAAGCCGCGUGUGUGAAGAAGGUCUUCGGAUUGUAAAGCACUUUUAGUUGGGAGGCGGUACCAACAGAAUAAGCACCGGCUAACUUCGUGCCAGCAGCCGCGGUAAUUC
rnacentral:rRNA from 1 species